CUUCUUCGACUUGCCAGAGGAGUUCAAACUGGAGGACAAGCACUUCGAGGUGUUUAGAGACCUGCGUGGCGUGAGGCUGCAUUUUAGGCGCAGCGUAGCAGUUGUUUCACCAAUGCCCCCAGAGAUUUCACCCCCGUCCAUGCUGGACUUGGGCUACAUGGAAGAUGGCUUUGUGGACCUGGAGGCAAUCGACAAGCCUGUCCCACAAAGUGUACUUCAGUGUGUGCCUCUGGACUGAGCAAGUUCCACGUCGGUGCUUUCAAUCUGCAACUGUCUGCCCACGUCUGUGCCUGGUCAACUGAGCUAUGUCCAGAGUGCAGAUUUCAAGUCACUUUUUUAUCUUUUAUUUGAUAGGCAGCACAUAAUAGGGGCUCCAAGCAUUCUGCACCAAAGAAAAUAUAAUCUGGCAGCUUGGAUUGUGUGCCGUGUCUGCCUCCUUACCUUUUAUGUCCCUCUGACGAACACUUUGCUGUGAACUUUAGCUGUAAGAACAUAUCAAUACAGAGUGUAAAUAAAGUGUUUAAAAACUAAGCAGCGUACUCUGUCUAAAUGGAAGAU